rnacentral:rRNA from 1 species
AGAGUUUGAUCCUGGCUCAGGAUGAACGCUGGCGGCGCGCCUAACACAUGCAAGUCGAACGGCACCCCUCUCCGGAGGGAAGCGAGUGGCGAACGGCUGAGUAACACGUGGAGAACCUGCCCCCUCCCCCGGGAUAGCCGCCCGAAAGGACGGGUAAUACCGGAUACCCCCGGGCGCCGCAUGGCGCCCGGGCUAAAGCCCCGACGGGAGGGGAUGGCUCCGCGGCCCAUCAGGUAGACGGCGGGGUGACGGCCCACCGUGCCGACAACGGGUAGCCGGGUUGAGAGACCGACCGGCCAGAUUGGGACUGAGACACGGCCCAGACUCCUACGGGAGGCAGCAGUGGGGAAUCUUGCGCAAUGGGGGGAACCCUGACGCAGCGACGCCGCGUGCGGGACGGAGGCCUUCGGGUCGUAAACCGCUUUCAGCAGGGAAGAGUCAAGACUGUACCUGCAGAAGAAGCCCCGGCUAACUACGUGCCAGCAGCCGCGGUAAUACGUAGGGGGCGAGCGUUAUCCGGAUUCAUUGGGCGUAAAGCGCGCGUAGGCGGCCCGGCAGGCCGGGGGUCGAAGCGGGGGGCUCAACCCCCCGAAGCCCCCGGAACCUCCGCGGCUUGGGUCCGGUAGGGGAGGGUGGAACACCCGGUGUAGCGGUGGAAUGCGCAGAUAUCGGGUGGAACACCGGUGGCGAAGGCGGCCCUCUGGGCCGAGACCGACGCUGAGGCGCGAAAGCUGGGGGAGCGAACAGGAUUAGAUACCCUGGUAGUCCCAGCCGUAAACGAUGGACGCUAGGUGUGGGGGGACGAUCCCCCCGUGCCGCAGCCAACGCAUUAAGCGUCCCGCCUGGGGAGUACGGCCGCAAGGCUAAAACUCAAAGGAAUUGACGGGGACCCGCACAAGCGGUGGAGCAUGUGGUUUAAUUCGAAGCAACGCGAAGAACCUUACCUGAUCUUGACAUCCCGAUGCCCGCUCCGUAAUGGGAGUUUUUCUUCGGAACAUCGGUGACAGGUGGUGCAUGGUUGUCGUCAGCUCGUGUCGUGAGAUGUUGGGUUAAGUCCCGCAACGAGCGCAACCCCUAUCUUUAGUAGCCAGCAUUUAAGGUGGGCACUCUAGAGAGACUGCCAGGGAUAACCUGGAGGAAGGUGGGGAUGACGUCAAAUCAUCAUGCCCCUUAUGACCAGGGCUACACACGUGCUACAAUGGCGUAAACAAAGGGAAGCAAAGCUGUGAGGCCGAGCAAAUCCCAAAAAUAACGUCUCAGUUCGGAUUGUAGUCUGCAUCUCGACUACAUGAAGCUGGAAUCGCUAGUAAUCGCGAAUCAGAAUGUCGCGGUGAAUACGUUCCCGGGUCUUGCACACACCGCCCGUCA